rnacentral:rRNA from 1 species
UACAGAGGGUGCGAGCGUUAAUCGGAAUUACUGGGCGUAAAGCGUGUGUAGGUGGUUGGAUAAGUUAGAUGUGAAAUUCCUGGGCUUAACCUGGGGACUGCGUUUAAGACUGUUCAGCUAGAGUACUGUAGAGGAUAGUGGAAUUUCCAGUGUAGCGGUGAAAUGCGUAGAUAUUGGAAGGAACACCAGUGGCGAAGGCGACUAUCUGGACAGAUACUGACACUGAGACACGAAAGCAUGGGGAGCAAACAGG